rnacentral:rRNA from 1 species
UACGUAGGGGGCAAGCGUUAUCCGGAUUUACUGGGUGUAAAGGGAGCGUAGACGGACGGGUAAGUCUGAAGUGAAAGGCAGGGGCUCAACCCCUGGACUGCUUUGGAAACUGUCCAUCUAGAGUGCCGGAGAGGUAAGCGGAAUUCCUAGUGUAGCGGUGAAAUGCGUAGAUAUUAGGAGGAACACCAGUGGCGAAGGCGGCUUACUGGACGGUAACUGACGUUGAGGCUCGAAAGCGUGGGGAGCAAACAGG